AGCGGCGGACGGGUGAGUAAUGCUUAGGAAUCUGCCAUUUAGUGGGGGACAACAUUCCGAAAGGGAUGCUAAUACCGCAUACGUCCUACGGGAGAAAGCAGGGGAUCUUCGGACCUUGCGCUAAAUGAUGAGCCUAAGUCGGAUUAGCUAGUUGGUGGGGUAAAGGCCUACCAAGGCGACGAUCUGUAGCGGGUCUGAGAGGAUGAUCCGCCACACUGGGACUGAGACACGGCCCAGACUCCUACGGGAGGCAGCAGUGGGGAAUAUUGGACAAUGGGCGGAAGCCUGAUCCAGCCAUGCCGCGUGUGUGAAGAAGGCCUUUUGGUUGUAAAGCACUUUAAGCGAGGAGGAGGCUACCUGGAUUAAUACUCUGGGAUAGUGGACGUUACUCGCAGAAUAAGCACCGGCUAACUCUGUGCCAGCAGCCGCGAUAAUACAGAGGGUGCGAGCGUUAAUCGGAUUUACUGGGCGUAAAGCGUGCGUAGGCGGCUGAUUAAGUCGGAUGUGAAAUCCCUGAGCUUAACUUAGGAAUUGCAUUCGAUACUGGUCAGCUAGAGUAUGGGAGAGGAUGGUAGAAUUCCAGGUGUAGCGGUGAAAUGCGUAGAGAUCUGGAGGAAUACCGAUGGCGAAGGCAGCCAUCUGGCCUAAUACUGACGCUGAGGUACGAAAGCAUGGGGAGCAAACAGGAUUAGAUACCCUGGUAGUCCAUGCCGUAAACGAUGUCUACUAGC
rnacentral:rRNA from 1 species